rfam:Leclercia adecarboxylata strain I1 Leclercia_S84_R1__paired__contig_20, whole genome shotgun sequence.
UGUAGCACCCCUCCGGGAGGGAUGAGAAUCCUCGACCGAGGGUUCGACAACGGGCGACAGCCAGUUGGACAGACCAUGAACGCAGUGAAUGGGCUGCCCGCAGGGCGAGCGCAGCGAGUCAAUCCCUCCCUCACCGCCA